AAAGGACCUAGAAAUCACCUCUAAAAGGAGACUCCAGCACUCCAGAAUCCAGUAACAAUGUGGCCAUGGAACAGUUCUGUUAUGUAAGAUUGUUCAGUACAUGCACAACAUCUAGAAUUCCUGUAUGACAUGACCAGCCUUUUUUCUGCUGUGACCUCUGCCAUGCUGUACUUGCCUUGGAGCCAACCAAUCAUGGUCUACAAACAUUGAAAAGUUAUGGUGCAUCUACUGUAAAAGAAAAAUUGUAAACAACUAGAGCAAAGAGGAGAUCAAAAAUUGUGAACAAAAUUCCUUGAAAAUAAAAGCACAUGGGACAAAAAUUGAGAAAAAGCCUCAAACACACACCCUGCUGCAACCAGUAUCUCCACCACCAUACCACGACCAGCAACUUCAGAGGUUGUGUCAGUUAUGUUGUUCUACCAGCAAAAAAGCUUACCCAUACAAGAUUUAUUAUAUCAAACCAGAAGUCUUGCAACAAGAUUCACCAUGACCAUCAGAAAUGUGCUGAUGAGAGGCACCAUCAACACUCAAAAGGGUCCCAGCCUGAAAGUCACAGUACCCUCAGUGAACGUUUGCCAGACACAACGAGGACUUCUUUCCUGAAGCACCUGUGUGUGCUUCUCGACCCAGGCGUGCUGCAGGCCAGAAGUGCCAGACUAUGAGCAGCUGUAAGAGUGAUGGUCAUCCACUGAGAGCAGAAUUGGUAGAUAAGUAUGCCUGCUUCCUUGCUCCUUGUUGGCUCAUUUCUGAGGUGUGUCCUACAGAGUCUCCCAGAGAGUUCCCAGGGGACUGAGGCCCCACAGUGAUGAAAGCAUCAAUACACCCUUUAUCAGCUCUUCUUCUCUGUCUACUUCUUCAGACCUUCACUAUUAUUCCUGGGAUCACCUUCCAUAGGAGCUUAGAUAUACAAGAUGACCAAGAAAUAUGGUAAUUGUUUAAAUAUGAUAUAUUACAGUAAAAGAUAUAUUGCUGUCAACCACCUUCAAAAUACUCCCCCUGGCUUCAAACACACUUAUUCCGUAGGUAUUGCUACUUUCUGAAGCAGUUUUGAGAGUCCUCUUUCAUGUCUUUAUGAGAUGUGAUCAAGAAUAUGGUGAAUGCUGUGUUCCAUUGAAAAGAAAGGCAGGCUUGUAAAAACAUUACGGUGGUGUCCUCAUUCACUUAAAUCACUGGAUCUGGUAUUGUGUGCAACUUCUGGUUCUUCCCCAAGUCAUGAUCAUGAAAGGUCAAGGUUUUGAGUCAAUUCAGGACACAGAGGCAGCUAAAGAUGCAAAACAAGACUCCCAGAAUUGCUUCAGGAAGUAGUAAGAACAAUUGGAUAACAAUUUUUGAGUAUUUUGAGAGGGAUCAAUGGCAAUAUGUCUUUUAUUAUAAUACAUUUUAAAAAAUGUUUAACAUUCACCGUAUUUUUGACUACACCUUGUAUAUCCAAAACCUUGUCUCAAAUUUGCUCUAGGGGGGUCCAAAUUAAGAUUACAUUUAAACAUUGCCAAUUUCUUAUCUUUAUAGUAUUUUUUCUUCCUUCCUUCCUUCCUUUUUUUAUAUCAAGUUUGGUGGCUAAAAUCUUAGCAACCAGGCAUGGGUUUAAAUCCUGGCUUCCCCUGUAAUUAGCUGUGUAACUUGGGGCAAGGAUUUAAUCAUUCUGAGUUUCUUUCUUUAUCUUUAAAAUGGAGAUAACAGACCUACUUUAAAUUGUUGUAUCUUGUGUCCAUUAAAUUAGAUAAUAUGCUCAACACAGUGCCUAAAAAUUAUAGUAAAUACUUUAAAAUGUUAGCUCUGGUUGCUUGGUUCACUAGCUUCCUAUUUUGUUCUGAAAGAUUUUUGCUGUCUAAAUUCAUCUAAAAUAAUUAAUUAGGUUUCAGAUAGGCUCAUAGGGAAGGUAAGUGUCUGCUCACUGAGAACAAUAACACAAGAAAGACCAGGAAGAAGCCUCCUUUCCUACACUUCUGCCAUUCACUGAAUCCAUGGGGAGAAAGAAGAUAGAAGGCGUCACCCUUUUCCCUAUCCCUAGGCACAGUGUAAGCUGCUCUACUUCUGUGAACCAUUCCCCAGUUUCUCUAGCUAGCAGGUUUUCCUUGCUCUCAGUGACAAUCCAUACAUUCACUGUCUGCCCUGCUCAUUUUAACACUUCCCCAAUGCAAGAUCUUUGUGAUGGUUAAUUUCAUGUGUAAACUUAGCUAGGCUACAGUAACCAGAUAUUUGGUCAAAUACUAUUCUAGAUGUCUCUGUGAAGGUAUUUUGGGGGAUAAUUAGCAUUUAAGUCAGCAGACUUUGAGCAGAGCAGACUACCCUCCUCCAGCCUCAAUUGCAAAAAGACUGACCUCCCUCUGAGUGAGAAGGAAUUCUGCCAACAGACCGCCUGUGCACUCAAACUACAUCUCGUCUUGAGGCUCCAGCCCACCAGCCUUGGAGAGUUUGGACUUAACAAGCUCCACAAUUGCACAAGCCUAAAAUACCAGCCUCUCUCUCUCUCUCUCCCUCUCUCCCUCUCUCUCUCUCUCCACACACAAAUAUUUAAUGGUUCUGUUUCUUUGAAGAACCGUGACUAAUAAAAUCUUCAUACAUUUUUUUCACAUGUUCAAAAUGUACUGUUCUUUAGGAAAUUGAAGGAUAGAAAUAAUCUUUAGGUGGCAAAGAAGAUAUUUAUUAAUGUUUGACAUUUUAAAAUCAAUUGUGAUUUUAUAAAAUACAAAUAUUUAAGACAAUAAUACUACAUAGAAACCUAGAAAUUAUUUUUUUCUUCAAACCUUUUGAUGGAAAUAGACAUUUCAGGGUCACAAAAGCUAAUUAUGUCAGUAGUAAAAACAAAACUCAUUGUUUAUAACUAAAAAACAUGCAGCCUAUAGAUGUUUAUCAACAAUAAAUAAAAUGAAUUAAAAAUUAAAAUUUUGGGUGUCUGGAAUGAUCAUGAAAAGGAACACAAGGGGUUAUCAAAAGAUAUAGUGAAGUUUUAAGUUUAAAAAAACUUAUUGUAGUAAAAGAUACUUUGCCAAGAACUGUGGGAUAGGUGUGUUCUACGCAAGGGGGAAUGCUUAUGAGUAUUUUGCGAGUGGCAAUAUGUCUUUUUCCAUAAUAAAAUUUUUAGUUUAAACAUUCAUCAUAUUUUGUGAUCAUACAAUCUCAACACUGGAAAGGCUCUUUUGGAUGCUCUGUACUCAUCACUGGAAAUGAGCUGGAAACCUGGGCCUAAAGGAUCACAUAGUAUGGAAUGAAUAAACUGUAAUUAGAACUGACGUGUCCUUGUUCCUUAAACCUCAGCAUAGCACUUCCAGGUGAAGCAGGAAUAACUCCAGGAGCUACCAAAGGCAGAGUGAAGCCCCUACUCUUGCCACGAUUGUCCAUAGCAGAGAGCCAGCAUGGUUCUUUCAAGUGCAGCCACCACCACCACUGUAGAUACUGUUACCAUGUGUACCAGGCAUGUGGUUCUCUAAGUGUCACAAAAUGAAGUCAAGAACCAAAGGAGAAGGUUAGGAGUGUUUUUAUUAGAAAUAGCAAGAGUAGGGCCUGGGAUUUAGCUCAGUGGUGCUGCUGCCUGCCUCGCAAUCACAAGGUCUGGAGUUUGAUCCCUGGUACAAAAAAAGAAAAGAAAAGAAAAGAAAACAAAUAAAAAGAGGAAAAACAGCUCCUAGACUUCCAGGAAAGUCCCGAGUGGGUUGCCAUGUGGCCCCUAGAUCUAGAGUCACUCACAGAUAAGCAGGGCACCAGAAUCACUUAAUUGUUUAAUGGACAUCUGCCACAGGUGGCUCAGAGAAAUUAAAGAAAUGACCAAUUGGAGUCGCGCUGUAAACAC